rnacentral:lncRNA from 1 species
UCGACCAGGUUUGAGAACUUCGCCAAGGGAAGGAUUUCCUGGAUCAGAACAUCGUAGCCGUGACGGUAAACAGUUUGGGUGCCGUGUACGAGGGGGUCCCACAAGCGGCACUCAACAUUAUUCUCAGACCCAGCACUUGGUCGUGCAGGCCUUCGAUGGGUUUCACCAGAACUUCCAUCCAAGAACACAACAAUCUCAUUUGCAUCUGCUUUGCCAUUGCAAUUAUUGAUCAAACAAAAAGGCUUCUUAAUUAACUUCGUGCUCUGUGAUCAGUUGCUUAAUUCCAGGCUGAAAGUUACAGAAGUGGCUUUUUACUCAAAGUGCUUCUGGAAAGAGAUGAAGAGAAAUAAGGUUUUGUCACAGAUUGUUAAUUAGGGUUUUCUAGUAGAUUGUCGAGUGAGGGCCAUGGGAUUUUGGGAUUUGGGUUCGGGUUCGGGUUCUGAUUGAAGCGGAGGUCCAUUUCCAUGGCGAUCUUGGGGAGUGAAGAGAGUGAAAAAAGAUGGAAGCUUGAAGUUUUUCAAGUGAGCUUUAAUGGUGGGAGGUUUGUGAAAUACUCAAGACUCAGCUGCAAAACUGCUCAACCUCACCUUCAUCACACAACAGAAAUGAGGGAGUACAGAGACAUUCAUAUAGCGCAGACUCUGCAGACUCUAGAGAGAGAAAGUUUGGAGCUUUCGGGAUUGAAGAGAGAGAAAGGGAUCUGAGGAGUGUUUCAGAUUUGGAUCUUUUCUGUUUAUGGGUUUUUGUGAUUUUGCAGAUUCAUAGUGGAGGUGAAAAAAUGAAAGAGAAUCGACACAAUUUUUCGUAUCGAUUCCCACAGACGAUGCCAAAUGUUGAUGCACAAAACCAGAGGGGUCUUGGAACAACAUAAAUCAGACCUUGAAUCUGCAAGAAAGUAAAUAACACAAGAUGUAUUGUGGUUCACCUCAAGGUUUGGGCUACGUCCACACUGAUAUUGUAUUUCUGAGGG